AACCCAUCUUUAAAACCCAAAAACUUUCAGAAUAACACCGUUUUCUCUUGCAAAAAAAAAAUUUGGUAGGGCUAAAGGAAUGGGGAGAUUAGACUGUACUAAAGAUACAUUAUACUAGUGACUCGUCAGACUCAUGCAUUAUCUAAAACACUCAAACUAAAAGCAAAAUGAAAUAAAGUAAACAACUAAAAAAAGCAAUAAAUAUAAGCAAUCAAACUAAAAAUAGCAAAGAAAAAUAGAAAGCGAUAAAAUCU
rnacentral:lncRNA from 1 species